rnacentral:lncRNA from 1 species
AUUCCAUGAAGUUGAUGGACUACAGUUCCCAGAAUUCACUCGUCCACCCGCCUGAGCCAACUUGCCCGCGACUCAGAGUGUGUCUGGACUCCGCUUCCUCCAAUGCCAAAGGAAAAUGUCUAUAAUCUCACUCUUCAGCGGGAAGCGUUGGACUCCGCGGUGGUCCUUGACUACACACACCGCAGUGCCCACCGGGAACGUAUUCCAUAUCUCUGAGCGCCUGGUGGGGAAUGUGGACUGUGACCCUGUGAGUCGUCCGUCUCUCUUCCUGAGUCUUUGAGCGAAAAUAGUGUAUAGACAGGAAUUCCUGAAGUCUAAACGCCUCCCACGAUGACAGGAGUGUUAUUGGGAAGAGAACAAACGAGGAGAUAAAAUCUUCAAGGAUUAGGAUAAUCUGACGAUGGGAGGUUAAAACUAACGGUUUAAAGGAUGAGCCAGGUGGAAUGGUUUGGCAGGGGCAAUGAGGAGCAGGAAGACACCAGCCCCUACUCCAGAAGCUGUGGGACCACUGGUUUGGCAGGAAAAGCCACCCCCAUUUAAGAUCACAGCUACUAGUGGAGAAGCGGUGUCGUCAUGGAAUAGCUAUCUUCCCAUAAACUUUUCAUGGACUGGAUGAAAUGUAUCAUCAGCAUGGAUUCUGUGAUAAAUUACAAGAUACAAACUCAAAAGGAACUGCUUUCUAUGUGCCUCAUAUUUUAAUGUUUCUCCCCUUUGUGAAUGCUUAGGUGAGACUGUAGUCAUGAAAACUGAGUAAAGACUUUAUUACACACAUUACUGAGGCUUCUCUCCAAUGUGGACAUUCUGAAGUUGAAGACUUGAGGCCUGAAUGAAGCACAUACCACCCUCCUCAUACUUCCGUAGUUUCUCUCCCGUGUGGAGCUUCUGAAGCAUAAUAAAAUUCAAGUGAUCCAGCAAUUCUAUUACUGGGUAUAUCCAAAGGAAAGGAAAUUAGUAUGUCACGGAGAUAUCUGCACUCCCAGGUUCAUUGUAGCACUACUCACAAUAGUCAAGAUAAGGAAUCCACCUAAGUGUCUAUCAAUACAUGAAUGAAGAAAAGGUGGCAUAUAUACACAAUGGAAUCCUCUUUAGACAUAACAAGGAAACAAAAUUUUAUCAUUUGUGGCAACAUGGAUGAGUUUUCAAGGACAUUGUUAAUAUAAGCCAAGCAAAGAAAGAGAAAUACUGACUGUCCUCACUCAUAUGGAAGUUAAAAAAAGUUGAUUUUGUAGUAGAGAGUAGAACAGUGGAUGUAGACAGGCAAGGAAGUGUAGGAGGUAGGUGAGAUGGCCAAAGGUUGGCCAACAGAUACAAAAGAGGUUCUUCUAUCUGUGCAGCCAUGGGCAUGUCUCCAGGCACAAUCCCCUGUGCUAGUUCCCUUAUCAGUGCCUGUAGCUUGAUUGUCUUCCCCAGGCUGCUUUUUGUGUUAUGUGGGGAUGAGACACUGACCCGUUUGGCUGGGGGUCUCCAGGGACCCUUCCCUUGCUGUCUACCAACUCCUCUCAAAUGGAUUUUGAAUUUUCCAACACAAAGAAAUGGUAAAUGUUUGAGGUAACAGAUACACCAAUUACACUGAUUGGAUCACUAUAAAUUGUAUGCACACAUUAAAAUAGCACGUUGUACCCCAUAAAUAUGAACAAUUAUGUGUCAUUUAGAAAUAAUGAUAAAAGUAUAUCCAGAUUCAAGCGCCUCUUGUAGCGUCUCCCACAAUCCUCACAUUUGGAUGGGUUUUCCCCACUAUAGUCUCUCGGCUGGUCUUUACGGUAUGUCCUGUGUACAAGCCUCUUUCCACAGUCCUCACAUUUGAAUGGUUUUUUCUGGCAGUGGAGUCUCUUAUGAUUCAAAAUACUUGAGGCCCGGCUAAAGUUCUUCCCACAUUCCUUACAAUUAUAAGGUCUCUCUCCCGUGUGGACCCUCUGGUGCAAGUCAAGAUUAAACUUAGUAACAUAGCCCUUCCCACACUCCUCACAUUUAUAUGGCUUUUCACCACUGUGGGAUCUCUGAUGGGAAGACAGUUGUGAAUUUGUAUAAAAUCCCUUUCCACAUUCUUCACAUUUGAAGCUUUUUUCUCCACUGUGGACUCGCUGAUGGUUCAAAAGGCAUGAGGACCAUCUGAAGCUCUUCCCACAUUCUUUACAAUUAUAUGGUUUUUCUCCUGUGUGGACCACCUGAUGCUUAUAAAAAUCUAGCCUACCAAUAAAGCCUUUUCCACACUGCUC